CCUACGGGUGGCAGCAGUGGGGAAUAUUGGGCAAUGGGCGCAAGCCUGACCCAGCAACGCCACGUGAAGGAAGAAGGCUUUCGGGUGGUAAACUUCUUUUCUCAGGGACGAAGCAUGUGACGGUACCUGAGGAAUAAGCCACGGCUAACUACGUGCCACCAGCCGCGGUAAUACGUAGGUGGCAAGCUUUAUCCGGAUUUACGGGUUGUAAAGGUCGUGUGGGCGGGAAAGCAAGUAAGAUGUGAAAACCAUGGGCUCAACCUGUGGCCUGCAUUUGAAACUGUUUUUCUUGAGUACUGGGGAGGCAGAAGGAAUUCCUGGUGUAGCGGUGAAAUGCGUAGAUAUUAGGAGGAACACCAGUGGCGAAGGCGGUCUGCAGGACAGCAACUGACGCUGAGGCGCGAAAGCGUGGGGAGCAAACAGGAUUAGAUACCCGAGUAGUC
rnacentral:rRNA from 1 species